UUAUUCUCAUUUGCUCCAUUUACUUUUUUUUUUUUUUAAGUGAGAGAUUCUGUAUUUUUUUUCUGACUUCAGAAUGGAUUGCUUGCAUUUUUCUGAAAGCCUCAAAGAGUCAGAAAGGAAAAGUCCACCACCUCAUUCCCAGACAACUGGUUUUGGCUCACAGUAUUUGUGCUUUUUGUGUCCACCUUGCUUUACGUUCCAUUUCAGUGUUGACCUGUGUGGAUGUCUAUGCAGCUGUCUCUCCUCAGGGUUUGUAUGUCCGUGAUUCAUGCUUUCUGGAGCACUUUGUGGGUUCAGGUUGUACACUUGAAGACAAGAGGGAAAGAACAGGCUCUGAGAGUAGAAAUUUUGGUUCAGUACAUGAAGAUACCGGAUAUGAACUUCUGUACAAGGUUCAGAUUUCUCCCACCUGAACACCUAGAGGCCCUAGGGAAAUCAAGGGCAGGAGAGACUAUUUCUAGGGUACCAUGUCAACUCUGUGCAGUGCAGGAAUGAACUUUGAGUCAGAAAAUUUUGUGUUUGUCUCAGCCACAUAUGAGUGCGCAACUGGAUUUAGCAUGACCAUGAGAGCACGUUUCCCACCUUCCUUGGUGGGGUUAUGAGUGUCCGUGUAGGGUCACAUUGUGAUUUAGUGGCUCUCGGCAGUGCACGUCAUUAUGUAGAGAGGAAAAAACAACUGCAGCUUGAAAGCUUAGGUCUCCGUCCUGGGAUGAGAUGUUUUCUCCCCCUGCAGUGCAGAUGCAUGGGGUCCCUGUCUCCCCUGGACGAUUAGCUUGAGGCUAAGUGGGUUCAGAAGAUGGCACUCAUUUCCUGGGCUGGAGAGACCAAUGUUGAAUCAUUUUGUUUGCUUUUUAUUAACAAAAUGAGAGUUUAUUCCAUUCCUUAGAAACGUGGUUCAGUAAUGAAAAGUUCUCAGUCCCUGAUCAAGUUCUCUUUUUAUGAAGAUAAAGGAGAAGGAAACAAGGUGAGGAAAGAUAAGAGGGAAAAAGAAUUUGUAUAUUGGCUUAGGGUGCCUUCUGAAACAAGGAAUACUUAGGAUACUUGGGAAUUGGACAUUAGAGGCAGAACGGAGGGUGGAGAGUGGUGGGGAACAGAAAGUGAUUCACAGAAAACUGUCUGCACAUUGGGAAGGACAUAUGCAGGUGACCUGGUGUUAUGUUAGGGUCUGAGGGCCAGCAUAUAACACACUAGAGGAAACUCCUGGGUGCUUGUUGGACGGGCCCUUGGUCAUUAAGGUCAUUUGCUCUGAGGCAAAUCCUGCAACUCUCUAGGCAACACUUUUUUGGGGGAUUAGCCAAUGGUACUGAAGGUGUGAUUCCUGGACUGGCAGGUUCUACAUCACUUGGGAACUUGUUAGAAAUGAAACCUUUCAAGCCCUACCGACAGGUCUCCUGCAUUUGAGCCUCUGGGGAUGGGCGGGUUGCUCUGGCUGAUUCUGACACAAAUGCCACAAUCUGGGCUCAGGACGUGGGAGCACCCUCCAGCUUGUGUCAAAUGGGAAAUCCUGAAGCUUACACUGAGUACCUUAUCUUCCUAGAAGUUGGAAAUCAGCUAAGUAGGUUUGUACUUUCAAUAGAAACAAUGCAUAUUGAAUAUUUUUUCAAGUUUUUAUUUAAAUUCCAGUUAGGUCACAUAUAGUAUAAUACUAGUUUCAGGUGUAGAAUUUAGUGAUUCAUAUUAAAUAUUUGUGUGCAUUUAGGGAUUGGCUAUGAGUUCAGCCUUAAUAUGUAAUUUUAAGUUGAACUCUCAGACCACUGUGACUGAUCUUCAGAGCUGCUACAAAAACCACAGCAUACUAAUUCCUGCUAUGAAUGAGUUUUCUCCAAUGGAACAACCUGUUACCACCCAUUCUAGCAGCUAUUUCUUCUCAUGCAAGGACUAAAAGGGGGCAUUUACACCAUUUUUGGUUCAUACUUGCAUCAGAGCUAUCAUUCACUCAUUUAUAUCUUUUAAAAGUACAAUCUUCAUUUUACCUGUUUCCAGAGAACACUUUUCCUUCAGUCCUUGAAGACUUGGCUCCUUAUGUGGGCUUUGGUGGAAGUUUGGGGCAGCAGCCGUGGGUCUAAAUCGGUCCUUCUGGAGGGCGGUGCCCGACUACCCUGCUGUGAAUGGCAAGGCUCACACAGGAAAGGGUUCACACACAGCUUGGCACACCUAGACAGCCAAGACGCUUGCUUCGGAAAUGUCCCUGAUGGCGGUGGCUUCUGUGCUGAACAACGACCUUCUUAAUGUGUCCCUGGGCACGCCGGGUGCAGCUGGUGCAGCGGGAGGCUGCACGCAGCCCUGGUCCUUUUGGGCACCACCGUUAUUCCUCUUUUUCUUGGUCAUCUUGGAAACGAGGACCCCAGAAGUGCCUCAGAGCUUUCAAAAAACAUUUGAUGGAGACAUGAAAAUAACUUAAUGGCCUUCUUUUGGAAGACUUAUCUCAGAUUUAGCUAAACUGGAUUUUUUAACGAUCAGGACUUUUCAGGUACCUUUGCAACUUGCCAUGAGCCCCACUCCCCAUGUGUGAUCACUUUGAAUAAUUCUGCAAGAUGCUACAUAAGGUCUGAUUCGUGGACAGCCUCGUCACCCGCUGACAGGCGGGCUCCUCUCGACAGCACCAUAUGCCGUAGGGUGGGCAAUAUGGAUUACUGGGUCAGGGAGACCUGCACCCUGCGCUGUGCAUGCAGGUGCGUGCGUCUUGUACAAAGGCAAGCCCUGCAUCUCCACCUCCUUCACCAGCAGCUCCAUGUCCUUGGAAUGUGCAGGGGACAGGCCAGCUAUUGGAGUUUCCCCAACUGUAAACUUGAAAAGCCACUGAAAGGGUUAGGUUGAUGAAUGCCUGUAGAAAGCACAUUUCUUCCAGGAAUUAUUGGUGCUCGCUGCUACCACCAUAACAUCCGUGACGACUGGGUCGAGUCACGCGCGGGGUGUGGGCGAUCAAAACAAAAGGGCGGAGUCUCCGUUCCCUCCUGACCUUCGGCCGGACUCCAGCCGACGAGCGCCGCGCAGGGCGCCCGGGGCUACAGCGUGACGGCCGGGCCGUGCUCCUC